rnacentral:rRNA from 1 species
AUACGGAGGACGCGAGCGUUAUCCGGAUUCAUUGGGUUUAAAGGGUGCGCAGGCGGCCGUGCAAGUCAGCGGUGAAAGCCCGGGGCUCAACCCCGGAAGUGCCGUUGAUACUGCGUGGCUGGAAUGCGGUCGAGGCGGGCGGAACGUGGCGGGGAGCGGUGGAAAGCGUAGAUAUGCCACAGAACGCCGAUAGCGGAGGCAGCUCGCCAGGCCUGCAUUGACGCUCGGGCACGAAAGCGUGGGGAUCGAACAGGAUUAGAUACCCUGGUAGUCCACGCCGUAAACGAUGGGCGCUCGUCGUCGGCGGCAGACAGUCGGCGGCCAAGCGAAAGCGAUAAGCGCCCCACCUGGGGAGUACGGUCGCAAGGUUGAAACUCAAAGGAAUUGACGGGG